AACGCACAUUGCGCCCAUUAGUAUUCUAGUGGGCAUGCCUGUCCGAGCGUCAUUUCAACCCUCAAGCACUGGUUUGCUUGGUGUUGGGGCGCCUGUAGUACCUUUUUGUUGUCGCAGGCCCCUGAAAUUCAGUGGCGGACCCGCUGAGGCCCCGAGCGUAGUAGUUUACUUCCUCGCUUAGGGCGCCCCGGAGGGACUCCUGCCGUAAAACCCCCACUGUAAAAUCACAAGGUUGACCUCGGAUCAGGUAGGAAUACCCGCUGAACUUAA
rnacentral:misc_RNA from 1 species